CGCCCGCCGCGCGCGGCGGGCGGGGCGGGGGCACGGGGGGGCGAAGAAKUAUUUCGGUAUGUAWRGCUCUAUCGGCAGGGARGAAAGGCCCUUUAMGGGAGAUGACGGUACCUGACUAAGAAGCCCCGGCUAACUACGUGCCAGCAGCCGCGGUAAUACGUAGGGGGCAAGCGUUAUCCGGAUUUACUGGGUGUAAAGGGAGCGCAGACGGCAUCGCAAGUCUGAUGUGAAAGCCCGGGGCUCAACCCCGGAACUGCAUUGGAAACUGCGGAGCUCGAGUGUCGGAGGGGUAAGCGGAAUUCCUAGUGUAGCGGUGAAAUGCGUAGAUAUUAGGAGGAACACCGGUGGCGAAGGCGGCUUACUGGACGACUACUGACGUUGAGGCUCGAAAGCGUGGGGAGCAAACAGGAUUAGAUACCCUGGUAGUCCACGCUGUAAACGAUGAAUACUAGGUGUUGG
rnacentral:rRNA from 1 species